UAUUUAUGGAGAAGUGCAACAGUGAACGACAUUUCGGAUGCAAUGAGGGUGGGUGGAGUUCACACGCCCAUAAAUAAGGACGAAAGCGGUUUUAAAGAAACAAAUCCUCUUAUUUAUGAAGAAGUGCAACAGUGAACGACAUUUCGGAUGCAAUGAGGGUGGGUGGAGUUCACACGCCCAUAAAUAAGGACGAAAGCGGUUUUAAAGAAACAAAUCCUCUUAUUUAUGGAGAAGUGCAACAGUGAACGACAUUUCGGAUGCAAUGAGGGUGGGUGGAGUUCACACGCCCAUAAAUAAGGACGAAAGCGGUUUUAAAGAAACAAAUCCUCUUAUUUAUGGAGAAGUGCAACAGUGAACGACAUUUCGGAUGCAAUGAGGGUGGGUGGAGUUCACACGCCCAUAAAUAAGGACGAAAGCGGUUUUAAAGAAACAAAUCCUCUUAUUUAUGAAGAAGUGCAACAG